ensembl:snRNA U6 U6 spliceosomal RNA
GUGCUUGUUUUGGGAACACAUACUAAAACUGGAACGAUACAGAGAAGAUUAGCAUGGCCCUUGUGCAAGGAUGACAUGCAAACUCAUGAAGCAUUCCAUAUUUAA